GACGAACGCUGGCGGCGUGCCUAAUACAUGCAAGUCGAACGCAGUGGGGACGGGUGAGUAACACGUGGGUAACCUCCCAUCAGAGGGGAUAACACUUGGAAACAGGUGCUAAACCGAUACUGAUGGAUGAACCCGCGGUGCAUUAGCUAGUUGGUGAGGUAACGGCUCACCAAGGCCACGAUGCAUAGCCGACCUGAGAGGGUGACCAGCCACACUGGGACUGAGACACGGUCCAGACUCCUACGGGAGGCAGCAGUAGGGAAUAUUCCGCAAUGGACGAAAGUCUGAUCCAGCAAUGCCGCGUGAGUGAAGAAGGUUUUCGGGUCGUAAAACACUUUCGUUAGGGAAGCGGUAUCCAAACAGGAAGCACCGGCUAACUACGUGCCAGCAGCCGCGGUAAUUC
rnacentral:rRNA from 1 species